rnacentral:rRNA from 1 species
GACGAACGCUGGCGGCGUGCCUAAUACAUGCAAGUAGAACGCUGAAGGAGGAGCUUGCUUCUCUGGAUGAGUUGCGAACGGGUGAGUAACGCGUAGGUAACCUCCCUGGUAGCGGGGGAUAACUAUUGGAAACGAUAGCUAAUACCGCAUAACAGUAGAUGUUGCAUGACAUUUGCUUAAAAGGUGCAAUUGCAUCACUACCAGAUGGACCUGCGUUGUAUUAGCUAGUUGGUGGGGUAACGGCUCACCAAGGCGACGAUACAUAGCCGACCUGAGAGGGUGAUCGGCCACACUGGGACUGAGACACGGCCCAGACUCUCUACGGGAGGCAGCAGUAGGGAAUCUUCGGCAAUGGACGGAAGUCUGACCGAGCAACGCCGCGUGAGUGAAGAAGGUUUUCGGAUCGUAAAGCUCUGUUGUAAGAGAAGAACGAGUGUGAGAGUG